rnacentral:rRNA from 1 species
GAUGAACGCUGGCGGCGUGCCUAAUACAUGCAAGUCGAGCGAACGGACGAGAAGCUUGCUUCUCUGAUGUUAGCGGCGGACGGGUGAGUAACACGUGGAUAACCUACCUAUAAGACUGGGAUAACUUCGGGAAACCGGAGCUAAUACCGGAUAAUAUUUUGAACCGCAUGGUUCAAAAGUGAAAGACGGUCUUGCUGUCACUUAUAGAUGGAUCCGCGCUGCAUUAGCUAGUUGGUAAGGUAACGGCUUACCAAGGCAACGAUGCAUAGCCGACCUGAGAGGGUGAUCGGCCACACUGGAACUGAGACACGGUCCAGACUCCUACGGGAGGCAGCAGUAGGGAAUCUUCCGCAAUGGGCGAAAGCCUGACGGAGCAACGCCGCGUGAGUGAUGAAGGUCUUCGGAUCGUAAAACUCUGUUAUUAGGGAAGAACAUAUGUGUAAGUAACUGUGCACAUCUUGACGGUACCUAAUCAGAAAGCCACGGCUAACUACGUGCCAGCAGCCGCGGUAAUACGUAGGUGGCAAGCGUUAUCCGGAAUUAUUGGGCGUAAAGCGCGCGUAGGCGGUUUUUUAAGUCUGAUGUGAAAGCCCACGGCUCAACCGUGGAGGGUCAUUGGAAACUGGAAAACUUGAGUGCAGAAGAGGAAAGUGGAAUUCCAUGUGUAGCGGUGAAAUGCUCAGAGAUAUGGAGGAACACCAGUGGCGAAGGCGACUUUCUGGUCUGUAACUGACGCUGAUGUGCGAAAGCGUGGGGAUCAAACAGGAUUAGAUACCCUGGUAGUCCACGCCGUAAACGAUGAGUGCUAAGUGUUAGGGGGUUUCCGCCCCUUAGUGCUGCAGCUAACGCAUUAAGCACUCCGCCUGGGGAGUACGACCGCAAGGUUGAAACUCAAAGGAAUUGACGGGGACCCGCACAAGCGGUGGAGCAUGUGGUUUAAUUCGAAGCAACGCGAAGAACCUUACCAAAUCUUGACAUCCUUUGACAACUCUAGAGAUAGAGCCUUCCCCUUCGGGGGACAAAGUGACAGGUGGUGCAUGGUUGUCGUCAGCUCGUGUCGUGAGAUGUUGGGUUAAGUCCCGCAACGAGCGCAACCCUUAAGCUUAGUUGCCAUCAUUAAGUUGGGCACUCUAAGUUGACUGCCGGUGACAAACCGGAGGAAGGUGGGGAUGACGUCAAAUCAUCAUGCCCCUUACGAUUUGGGCUACACACGUGCUACAAUGGACAAUACAAAGGGCAGCGAAACCGCGAGGUCAAGCAAAUCCCAUAAAGUUGUUCUCAGUUCGGAUUGUAGUCUGCAACUCGACUACAUGAAGCUGGAAUCGCUAGUAAUCGUAGAUCAGCAUGCUACGGUGAAUACGUUCCCGGGUCU